AGAUUGGUAAGACAAACAAACAAAAAAAAGGAGAAACCGAGCAAUAAACUUGUGACAUCACAAGAGAACCCCCGGUGCCAGAGGGGGAGAGCACUUCAUUGCUUCCCAGAGCUACUCAUGAGGACUUUUUAUCUCGUCUUGAGAGCCUGUUUAUUUAACAUAUACCUCAGCUGGGCCAGGUUUAUACACACAUUUCAGGAUAAAAUUUAAUCUUAUAGCAGAAUGAGCUGGAAAUUCUGGUUUAAGCUGGAUGUGCCCAGGACUUCCUGUUCCCAAACUGCAAAAUGUUUGCCUUCCCCUAUCAGCACCUCAGACUAAAUGUGUCCCCAGCUGAACUCUCUUUCCUCCUCCCUCCUCUGCUUUAUCUUCCUUGCUGCCUGUCAGGCCUCACCCCACUUCCAGCCUGGCUGGAAGCUCAGACUCCAGACCUACCCCUCUUCCCCAUCCGCACCCCGCCAUGGCACGGGGGCCAGCUCUCAGCUGGUCCAUGACGGCCCGUCGGGAAGACCUCCUCGCGCCUCCUCGCUCUCCUCCAACCCAUCCCGCCUCUUCCUGCCCCGUUGUCAUCCUGCGGGCUUGAGCUUCCCGAUGAUCGCCUUCCGAAGUCUGGGCAGCGGAAGAGUCCUACACGCCACGGCCCUAACUCAGCCUGGCAUCUAAUCCCGAAGAAGGGGUUAUAUGAGCUGCAGCAGGUCGCACAGCUGGUAGCCUUCUGUCUUUCCUGACGUUACAACGAAAACCAGAAGUCUGUACUGAGGUGCGAUGGGUCAUGAUGUAUUGUGCAGACAUGCAGGUUCCAGCUCAGAUCUACACUCCGAUUCUGUCUCCUCCCUCUCAACCCUCAAAGACGCUGUCAUCAGAUGCUGCCUUGAAGACUCACUUGGCUCACGUCUUGACAUCCCAGAAAGUUCAAAGGCGUUUGGGCAGGAGCCAGCCAAGCCCUUUGUCUGCUCCCACUUACACAAAAGUGCAUUGCUGUAACUUAGAAAAAAAUCUGUUUAACACUG